rnacentral:rRNA from 1 species
AUGUGGCAAGUCAUGUUCAAUCUUAUAUACCUGCAUGGCUCUCCAGUAGUAGGGCAGGAAGGAUACUGCAUAAGCCAAAUCUCUAAAAUGUUUCACUCUUGUGCAGUAUCCAUAGUCUUGUGUCUUAUAGCUGCUGGUUAUGUAAUAACAUGCCAGGUAUUCCAAGGUCCUAAGCAGCGGUACCUAUUUUCCAGCAAAUCAUUAAUUUAUUACUCAUUCCAAAUUAAACACCAUCAUUGCUUCUCUACGCGCUACACUGUAGUAAUAUGUACUCCCUCCGUUCACUAUUAUAAGAUGUUUUAA